CCUCUCGAGGUGGUCCCUGAUCUCACCUGAAAAGACUUGCUUUGUCACAAGAAUGACCACAUUGAUAUAUUAUGUUCUGCCAUAAACAGGUGGUUUGAUGGUUUAUUUGAGGUCAUUUUAGGAUUAUUUUGAACUUGUCGGAAAGACAGGAAUUUUAGAUUGUAUUAGGUUGGUGCAAAUGUAAUUGCAGUUUUUGCAAUUUUUAACCUUUUAAACCAGUUACUUUUGCAUCAACCUAAUACAUCAGACCUUCCCACUCAGUUCACAUGCUGUUUCUUAGGAGCGGGGUGUGGGCUUGUAGAGGAGGAAAGGAUGUGGCCCCAGAAUCCAGCUCAUGUUGCAGGUGAUGGAAUGGACUGAGGAGAGCUCCAGCACCUUGAUUUCUCCCCUCCUCCCUCGGCUCUUACCCCACCGGGUUCUCGUCACUUUGGAUGGAGUGAUUAGAUGUCACGGUGGCAGGUGUCCAUCCCGUUACUGCCUCACCCCCGUCGGCCCCACCAGCGCUGCGCCUUUUUCUGUGACCGACUUGACUGCGUUCUGAUCUCGGCACUGGGUUUGUCAGCCCCGCCUGCUGCCCAGGGACACCAUGUGCAGUGCAGCGUGGGUUCCUCUGCCCUUCCCACACACAGAAGCCUUUCGCGGCACGGCUGCACUCAGUUUCACCUCUGCCACGGACUUCUGAUCACCUUCUCCCAGACCUAGGAAGAUGGGGGCACUCACUUUUUACAAAAAUUUUAAUAAUGUUAAGUUUCAAACAUACGUAAAAGGAAAAUCUAAUACUGUAAAUCCCCAUAUACUUACCAUCCAACUCAACAGCCAGUCUUGUUUCAUCUGUAUCUAUUUUCCAUUCCCCUCAGCUUUGUGAAUUACUUGGUAGCAAAUCUCAGUGUCAAGCAUCAUGUAAUUUCAUCCAUAAAUAUUUCCAUAUGUAUCUCUAGAAAACAAUGAUUAAAGAAACCUACAGCCAUAAUGCAAUUAUUACAUCUAAAAAGUAAUAAUAGUGCCUUAAUAGAAUCUCAUAUACAACAGUAUUCAAAUUUUCCUGAUUCUCAUAAAUGUGUUUAACAGCUUGAAUCAGGGUCCAAAAUCAAGUCCAACACUCUAAUUGGUUGAUACGUCUCAUCAGUUCCCAUCCUUCUCUCUUGUCCUUAGAACUUUGCAGUGUUAGCCCUUGUUUUUCCAGUUUUCACCCUAGGGCUUUGCCGUACCAAGCAGUAAUAUCACAUUGAUGUUUAAAGCGCUUUAGCAUUUGCAAAGUACUCUGACAUACCUGAAUUCAUUUAGUAGACCCCAGUAUCUCUUUAAGGUAGAUGUAUCAACCCAUUUUCCAGGUGAGAAAUCUAAGGCUCAGAGAUUUAUCGAGAUUUCCAAACUCAAACCCAGGUCUUUUGACC
rnacentral:lncRNA from 1 species